GAUGAACGCUGGCGGCGUGCCUAAUACAUGCAAGUCGAGCGAUGCGCGGUCGGGUGUGUAUAACGUGGUUACCCUCGUAUAAGACUGGGUUCACUUCGGGACACUGGUGCUCAACCGGACAUUUAUAGUUGGAUCCGCGCUGUAUUAGCUAGUGGGUAAGGUAACGGUAUACCAAGGCAACGAUGCAUAGCCGACCUGAGAGGUUGAUCGGCCACACUGGAACUGAGACACGGUCCAGACUCCUACGGGAGGCAGCAGUAGGGAAUCUGCCGCAAUGGGCGAAAGCCUGACGGAGCAACGCCGCGUGAGUGAUGAAGGUCUUCGGAUCGUAAAACUCUGUAAUUAGGGAAGCGGUACCUAAUCAGAAAGCCACGGCUAACUACGUGCCAGCAGCCGCGGUAAUAC
rnacentral:rRNA from 1 species